GCCAAUCACCCGUGUCUCACCCCACUCCCACCCCAGCGGCCCAGCCGCCAAACGAACCCUAGCCCUCUUUCUCCUUCCCCUCGAUCCCCACGAGCCGCCGCACCCCUCCCUCGAUCCCCAGUUCCCCACGAUCCUCUCCUAGCCCGCAACCGCCGGUCUUGUCUCUCCACUCUACCAUGUCGUCGUCGAUCCCACCGUCGGCCUUCUCCUCUGCUUGCUUCCUCCGGUCCUCUUCCAUGUCACCGUCGUUCCAGAGCGGCGGCGGGGUCUCCGCGGUGCGGGUGGGGAUGUAGGGGAGGCGUGGGAUGCGGACGGCAGAGAGGAAGGCAAGCAACAGCGGGGAAUGAGCAGGUCAGCGAUCCUAGCGUUGGGAAGGGGCAGGGUGGGGCCUCACGCACCUGCCGGCGGCCGGCGGGAGCUUGAGCUCGAGACGAUGGAGGUGCUAAGGCGGGGCAGGAGAGGACGGCUCGCCGACGAGCUCGAGUUGGAGGCGGUGAGAUCUUUUCCUUCAUGGCUUCCCACCCGCUGAAUUCGUUGGUCCUCCUCCCUCCCCCGUGCGGCCGACCUCGUCCUUCGUCCCUCGAUCGUGCUGUGACAUUGCUUCCUCAAUUGGUCGCCGCCUCAUCUCGCCUGAACACGAUGCCGUCCGGGGCAGCGCCGGCACCGAGGCACCACCUCUUCCUCCACCCCCACUGGGCAAAGAGCUCGAGGUGUUUGGGGGUUUCUUGUCCCUGAUGUCAUGUUGUGAUUGGUGCAGCCGCUGGAUGAGAAAGAGCAUAGGAUCCAGGAAAGCAACCAUAGGAGACGGAGAAGACGUCCCCAUGGCUUCUACGAGGACCAGAAGCGUUUCCUUCAGCAACCUGGGGUUGUUAAGAAGAGGGUCGGGAUUGCCCUAGGCAGAUGCUUAAAUUCCUGGAUGUAAACGCACACUUGCCUCCUACACAGGCCAAAAUACUAUUGGAGAUAAGGAUACUUGUUUUGCAUAUUUGCAUCUCGAAGAAGCUUGCCCGCUAUUGUAAGUCUGACAUUUUCUUGCUUGCUUGUGGAAAAACUAGUUCUCAUUCAGUUAUGCUUGUCAGUCUGAUAGAAGAUGGACACCCCUCUUCAAGUUGGUUUAUGGGCUUGCGGAGUGUGAGAAACCCCUGGUAUGGCUCCAUCCUUCGUCCCUUGCUCCGUGGCCUGGAUGUCGAGGGAGGGCGAGAGGUGGUGAUAUGUAGGGGUGAGGGAGAUGGAGGCGGUGGCCUGCAGCUCCUAUUGAAGGGGCGGAGAAGAGGGGGUGCGGAGAUGAGAGGCUAUUUUUGUUUAUUCCAUCAUGCAGUAUUUCUGAGUUGGUUCACUCUGAAAAAAGCAGUUUUUCUGUACCAAUGGGGUGACAUUACACUACUCUUCACUUCCACAGGCAAUGGAAUACUAAAUAACCUGGCAACGGAUACCCUGUGGUCUACCAUUAUAAUUAUGUGUGCAUUUUGGAUCUAUUGGAUGUCUGAAUGUAAUGCUAAUUGACAUUUACUAUUGCAAAGAUUUUGCAGGGAUGUAGAUAUAUAUGGUGAUGUUUCACUACGAUCUAAGUGUUUCAGUUCAUAUUUAGCAGGAUCACAUGUUGACCAAUGACUCUUUGCUGUGAGUUAUUGACAAUUCCUUGAUUUUUGCAACUCAGGAGUGAAGAUGGCCUUCCUUUGGUUGGUGUAGUGAAUGAAUUUUCUUCUAAUUCAGGCCAUGGUUGAUACCGCUCGGCGGCUGGAUCUGCCAUGGAGUGGCUACCAUGGGCCAACUAGAGUUGGGUGUCCCUUUUUCCGACCUCAAGGCGGUGAGAUUAGAGUCCAAUCUUGCAGGCUGAGAAAAAUAUUGGCAAGCAUUACCAUUAUGAUCCUCCCUUGAUCAUCAUUGUUGAAGGAAAACGUAUUAGAGAUGGUAUUGUCAAGCUAAAUGUACCAGCAGCCGAUGAUGGACCUUGUGAUGCAUAUAGUUUGCAUAUUUCUCUUCA